rnacentral:snRNA from 1 species
AUACUCUGGUUUCUCUUCAGAUCAUAUGGAUCAUUUGCCUUUUACUAAAGAUUUCUGUGAAAAGGAAUAUAUAUGAGUUUCUACCCAGAUCC